UACAGAGGUCCCAAGCGUUGUUCGGAUUCACUGGGCGUAAAGGGUGCGCAGGUGGUCGGGUAAGUCUGAUGUGAAAUCCCGCAGCUUAACUGCGGAAUGGCAUUGGAUACUAUUUGGCUAGAGGGUUGGAGGGGGGACUGGAAUUCUCGGUGUAGCAGUGAAAUGCGUAGAUAUCGAGAGGAACACCAGUGGCGAAGGCGAGUCCCUGACAACUCCUGACGCUGAGGCACGAAAGCUAGGGGAGCAAACAGG
rnacentral:rRNA from 1 species